GAUGAACGCUAGCGGCAGGCUUAACACAUGCAAGUCGAGGGGUAACAGGAGUGCUUGCACUUGCUGACGACCGGCGCACGGGUGCGUAACGCGUAUAGAACCUACCUUUUACAGAGGGAUAGCCUUUAGAAAUGAAGAUUAAUACCUCAUAGUAUUUUAGAUUGGCAUCGAUUUUAAAUUAAAGAUUUAUUGGUAAAAGAUGGCUAUGCGUCCUAUUAGCUAGAUGGAAAGGUAACGGCUUCCCAUGGCAACGAUAGGUAGGGGUCCUGAGAGGGAGAUCCCCCACACUGGUACUGAGACACGGACCAG
rnacentral:rRNA from 1 species